CCAAUAGCGUAUAUUAAAGUUGUUGCAGUUAAAAAGCUCGUAGUUGAAUUUCGGGAUCAGUACGUCGGUCGUGCCUUCGGUAUGUACUGGUGUCACUGGUUCCUCCCUUCUGACGAACCGUCAUGCCAUUCACUUGGUGUGGCGGGAAAUCAGGACUGUUACUUUGAAAAAAUUAGAGUGUUUAAAGCAGGCUCACGCUUGAAUACAUUAGCAUGGAAUAAUGAAAUAGGACGUUGAUCUUAUUUUGUUGGUUUCUAGGAUUGACGUAAUGAUUAAUAGGGAUAGUUGGGGGCAUUAGUAUUCAAUUGUCAGAGGUGAAAUUCUUGGAUUUAUUGAAGACUAACUACUGCGAAAGCAUUUGCCAAGGAUGUUUUCAUUAAUCAAGAACGAAAGUUAGGGGAUCGAAGACGAUCAGAUACCGUCGUAGUCUUAACCAUAAACUAUGCCGACUAGGGAUCGGAUGAUGUUAAUUUUUUAAUGACUCAUUCGGCGCCUUACG
rnacentral:rRNA from 1 species